AUGUGUCUUGGCUAAUGUGUCUAAGGGCUAAUGUGGCUAAGGUGUCAUGGCUAAUGUGUCUUGGCUAAUGUGUCUUGGCUAAUGUGUCUUGGCUAAUGUGUCUUGGCUAAGGUGUCUUGGCUAAGGUGUCUUGGCUAAUGUGUCUCGGCUAAUGUGUCUUGGCUAAUGUGUCUUGGCUAAGGUGUCUUGGCUAAUGUGUCUCGGCUUAUGUGUCUUGGCUAAUGUGUCUUGGCUAAGGUGUCUUGGCUUAUGUGUCUUGGCUAAGGUGUCUUGGCUAAGGUGUCUUGGCUAAUGUGUCUUGGCUAAGGUGUCUUGGCUAAUGUGUCUUGGCUAAUGUGUCUUGGCUAAUGUGUCUUGGCUAAGGUGUCUUGGCUAAGGUGUCUUGGCUAAUGUGUCUCGGCUAAUGUGUCUUGGCUAAUGUGUCUUGGCUAAGGGGUCUUGGCUAAGGUGUCUUGGCUAAGGUGUCUCGGCUAAUGUGUCUUGGCUAAUGUGUCUUGGCUAAGGUGUCUUGGCUAAUGUGUCUCGGCUAAUGUGUCUUGGCUAAUGUGUCUUGGCUAAGGUGUCUUGGCUAAGGUGUCUUGGCUAAGGUGUCUCGGCUAAUGUGUCUUGGCUAAUGUGUCUUGGCUAAGGUGUCUUGGCUAAGGUGUCUUGGCUAAUGUGUCUUGGCUAAUGUGUCUUGGCUAAGGUGUCUUGGCUAUUGUGUCUUGGCUAAGGUGUCUUGGCUAAGGUGUCUUGGCUAAGGUGUCUCGGCUAAGGUGUCUUGGCUAAUGUGUCUUGGCUAAGGUGUCUUGGCUAAGGUGUCUUGGCUAAUGUGUCUUGGCUAAUGUGUCUUGGCUAAGGUGUCUUGGCUAAGGUGUCUUGGCUAAUGUGUCUUGGCUAAUGUGUCUUGGCUAAGGUGUCUUGGCUAAGGUGUCUUGGCUAAGGUGUCUUGGCUAAGGUGUCUCGGCUAAUGUGUCUUGGCUAAUGUGUCUUGGCUAAUGUGUCUUGGCUAAUGUGUCUUGGCUAAGGUGUCUUGGCUAAUGUGUCUUGGCUAAGGUGUCUUGGCUAAUGUGUCUUGGCUAAUGUGUCUUGGCUAAUGUGUCUUGGAUAAGGUGUCUUGGCUAAUGUGUCUUGGCUAAUGUGUCUUGGCUAAUGUGUCUUGGCUAAGGUGUCUUGGCUAAGGUGUCUUGGCUAAUGUGUCUUGGCUAAUGUGUCUUGGCUAAGGUGUCUUGGCUAAAGUGUCUUGGCUAAUGUGUCUUGGCUAAUGUGUCUUGGCUAAGGUGUCUUGGCUAAGGUGUCUUGGCUAAUGUGUCUUGGCUAAGGUGUCUUGGCUAAGGUGUCUUGGCUAAGGUGUCUUGGCUAAUGUGUCUUGGCUAAUGUGUCUUGGCUAAUGUGUCUCGGCUAAGGUGUCUUGGCUAAUGUGUCUUGGCUAAGGUGUCUUGGCUAAGGUGUCUUGGCUAAGGUGUCUCGGCUAAUGUGUCUUGGCUAAUGUGUCUUGGCUAAUGUGUCUUGGCUAAGGUGUCUUGGCUAAGGUGUCUUCGCUAAUGUGUCUUGGCUAAGGUGUCUUGGCUAAUGUGUCUUGGCUAAGGAGUCUUGGCUAAUGUGUCUUGGCUAAUGUGUCUUGGCUAAUGUGUCUUGGCUAAUGUGUCUUGGCUAAGGUGUCUUGGCUAAUGUGUCUUGGCUAAUGUGUCUUGGCUAAUGUGUCUUGGCUAAGGUGUCUUGGCUAAUGUGUCUUGGCUAAGGUGUCUUGGCUAAGGUGUCUUGGCUAAUGUGUCUUGGCUAAGGUGUCUUGGCUAAUGUGUCUUGGCUAAGGUGUCUUGGCUAAGGUGUCUUGGCUAAGGUGUCUUGGCUAAUGUGUCUUGGCUAAUGUGUCUUGGAUAAGGUGUCUUGGCUAAUGUGUCUUGGCUAAGGUGUCUUGGCUAAUGUGUCUUGGCUAAUGUGUCUUGGCUAAUGUGUCUUGGCUAAGGUGUCUUGGCUAAGGUGUCUUCGCUAAUGUGUCUUGGCUAAGGUGUCUUGGCUAAUGUGUCUUGGCUAAGGUGUCUUGGCUAAUGUGUCUUGGCUAAUGUGUCUUGGCUAAUGUGUCUUGGCUAAUGUGUCUUGGCUAUGGUGUCUUGGCUAAUGUGUCUUAGCUAAGGUGUCUUGGCUAAGGUGUCUUGGCUAAGGUGUCUUGGCUAAUGUGUCUUGGCUAAUGUGUCUCGGCUAAGGUGUCUUGGCUAAUGUGUCUUGGCUAAUGUGUCUUGGCUAAGGUGUCUUGGCUAAGGUGUCUUGGCUAAGGUGUCUCGGCUAAUGUGUCUUGGCUAAUGUGUCUCGGCUAAUGUGUCUUGGCUAAGGUGUCUUGGCUAAUGUGUCUUGGCUAAGGUGUCUUGGCUAAGGUGUCUUCGCUAAUGUGUCAUGGCUAAGGUGUCUUGGCUAAUGUGUCUUGGCUAAUGUGUCUUGGCUAAGGUGUCUUGGCUAAGGUGUCUUGGCUAAUGUGUCUUGGCUAAGGUGUCUUGGCUAAUGUGUCUUGGCUAAGGUGUCUUGGCUAAGGUGUCUUGGCUAAGGUGUCUUGGCUAAGGUGUCUUCGCUAAUGUGUCUUGGCUAAGGUGUCUUGGCUAAUGUGUCUUGGCUAAGGUGUCUUGGCUAAUGUGUCUUGGCUAAUGUGUCUUGGCUAAUGUGUCUUGGCUAAUGUGUCUUGGCUAAUGUGUCUUGGCUAAGGUGUCUUGGCUAAUGUGUCUUGGCUAAGGUGUCUUGGCUAAGGUGUCUUGGCUAAGGUGUCUUGGCUAAGGUGUCUUGGCUAAGGUGUCUUGGCUAAUGUGUCUUGGCUAAAGUGUCUUGGCUAAGGUGUCUUGGCUAAGGUGUCUUGGCUAAUGUGUCUUGGCUAAGGUGUCUUGGAUAAUGUGUCUUGGCUAAGGUGUCUUGGCUAAUGUGUCUUGGCUAAUGUGUCUUGGCUAAUGUGUCUUGGCUAAGGUGUCUUGGCUAAGGUGUCUUGGCUAAUGUGUCUUGGCUAAGGUGUCUUGGCUAAUGUGUCUUGGCUAAUGUGUCUUGGCUAAGGUGUCUUGGCUAAGGUGUCUUGGCUAAUGUGUCUUGGCUAAUGUGUCUUGGCUAAGGUGUCUUGGCUAAGGUGUCUUGGCUAAGGUGUCUUGGCUAAUGUGUCUUGGCUAAUGUGUCUUGGCUAAUGUGUCUUUGCUAAGGUGUCUUGGCUAAUGUGUCUUGGCUAAUGUGUCUUGGCUAAUGUGUCUUGGCUAAGGUGUCUUGGCUAAUUUGUCUUGGCUAAGGUGUCUUGGCUAAGGUGUCUUGGCUAAUGUGUCU